CCUACGGGCGGCAGCAGUCGGGAAUAUUGCGCAAUGGAGGAAACUCUGACGCAGUGACGCCGCGUAUAGGAAGACGGUUCUCUGAUUGUUAAAUAUUGUUGGUCGGGGAGCUAAAAGACUGUACCUAAGGAGGAAGCCCCGGCUAACUAGGUGCCAGCAGCCGCGGUAAUACAUAGGGGGCAAGCGUUAUCCGGAAUUAUUGGGUUUAAAGGGUGCGUAGGCGGAAGAACGAGUUGGUUGUGAAAUCUCUCGGCUCAACUGAGGAACUGCAACCAAACCUAGUCUCCUUGAGUGUCGGAGAGGAAGGUGGAAUGCCUAGUGUAGCGGUGAAAUGCGUAGAUAUUAGGAGGAACACCAGUGGCGAAGGCGACUUUCUGGACGAUAACUGACGUUGAGGCACGAAAGUGUGGGGAGCAAACAGGAUUAGAUACCCGAGUAGUC
rnacentral:rRNA from 1 species